UAAAUGUGAAAUUUGUGUGUUUAAUAAUUCGCAAUAUUUAAGCUUAAGCGCAUUAGUAAAAUAUUUCAUUAUUGAAAAUCUAAAUGAGAAAACGCAGACAAUUUGUGAAUGUUGAAAAUCGAAGAAAAGUUACCAAGUAUUUCAUAGAAAGAGGUGCGAACUAGCUGGAAUGCAAAGUGCAGCAGAGGCAACGUUCGGCAGUGGGUCCCAAACCCCCACCUCAAAUUAUACGAGUAGAGAUUACUUGGUCGGUCGGUUAAUGUGUUGCGAAAAAGUCGAAUAAUUGCGAGAGGAGUGGCGGCUACUGCGUAUGGAUGAGCUAGUUACGCGCAAAACGCAUACAAUUGAAGGACAGAAUGUUGGCUGCCAUUCUCAAAAGAAAAGUUGAAAGAAUAAGUGGUUUUAAGAAUUAUAUCUAAAAAAAAGUGUAGUUGACGGUUGAAAGUGAUUUGUCGCUGUGUCAAUGGAUAUAAUUGGAAUAUGAAGUAAAAAUUACAUGUUCUUGAAAUUAAUAAUGAAAACCUCAAUAUCCUAUUAAUUACUUCAAAAUGUGUUUUCUUAUACAUAUAUAUUUAAAAACAACAAAUAGACUGAGGCAGGCAGCAAUAAUAACCGAGUAAUCACGACGCAAAAUAAUCAAUACACUAAAAGCAUUAUGAGCGUAAAGGAAGUUGUAAAAAAAAUUAUUUUGAUAUAAAAUGAAAUUUGAAAAAGAAUUGUAUUUUUGGUUUGUAAAGGAAAGAGAAAAAAUAAACGAGAAAGUGGUGGACAACAUAAUACAGAAAGUAGAAGUGAAAUAAUUAGGAUACGAUCAAAAUUGCGGAGUGUAAAUCGAAAGGUGACUAUAACGAUACGUAGGAAACAAAGCAAUUCGAAUCACAAGUAAAAGAGAAAAACGAAAAAAUAACAAACAGAAAAGGCACCGGAAAAGAGGCAUAUGAAAGUUUAAACACAGUGAAGUGAAAAGAAGAAAUAUGAUAAAACAAAAUUGUGAAGAAAAGCUGUUAUGUGCAAUAAAGGUGCUGGCUCAGUAAACGAAGCAAAACGGUAGUAGUAGAUAGACUGAAUUUAUUUUUAUGUGUUUGUAUUACAUUGUGUGUGUGAGAAAUUAAAGAAAGAAGCAAAGUAAAUAAAAGCAAAUGUGCAAGAAAGCAGAAAAGUUGAUUAAAUCGAGCAAAUUCAACUCUAAACGACGAAAGUAACUAAAAACAUAUAAAUAUUAAUGCCGACAAAUACAAUAUACAAGAUCAAAGAUAUUAUUACAGAGUUUGAAAAGAAAACCAAAGUGUGCUUAGUGCUUGUGAACAUCAAUUCAUAUUCAAUGCGCCUUCGUGCAUAUUUUUGAUGCUUCCUGACGAGAGAUAUAUAAUAAACACGAAGCAAAAUAAAAACAAAAAUUUUAAACGUACAAUAGUUAGUUUGCGCUAAAAUUUGUUUCACACUUACACUACCAGUUCGCCAAUUUCGGGCGGGUUUGUCAGAAAGACAAGCUGCCUCUAAUUGACUGCCCAACAGUCUCAUAGGCCAGGCGGUCGACUCAACAAAUCGAAGAAGAGAUUGAGGGAUCAAUUCAAAUUGUUGACCAAGUAAGGUCGAUCAAUUUGAAAUUUAAAAUAUCUACUAGUAACAACAACAACGAUUACGAAAUCUGAGUAGCUGUAAUAACAAAUAGUAAAAACAAAAAAAAUAUUCAAAAUGUCUUCUUUGGACGUGCGCAACAACUCGGCGGUGAUGAAGCGAGCGGAGCAACUUAAGCGUUGGGAAGAAUCGGACACAAAUCGUCAACCUCCAACACCACGUCCCGAGCGUGGACGCAAAAUAAAAUUCUCUUCAGGCUGUGUCUUUCUUGCAGCCUGUAUGUCUGGCGAUAAGGAGGAAGUGCUAAAGCUAUUGGAAAGUGGUGCUGACAUAAAUACAGCCAAUGUUGAUGGAUUAACUGCCCUACAUCAGGUGAGAUACUUAGAAAAUCUUCAUUAUAAAAAUAAGAAAACAAGUGUGGAUUUAACCAAUAAUAUAUUUUUAAAAGAACUAGAGAAAGAUAGAUUUGUUAAAAGAGUUCAUGCAUUAUCUUUUCCAGACUUAACCCACUUUUUCUUUAAAUGUUUAAUAUUUUGUUUGCAAAUUAUUUGCAUUGUGUUAUACAAAUUCUAUAGCUACCAAGAGGAUCUGUCACAAUCAUAAAUAGUAUCCUAUUUGUAUAAUAAAGAACGAGAGUAUUUAUUAAGACACGUGAAUGUGCCUAUUACGUCAAUACUUUCAAGUUUAUUUCGAAAAUUUACGCUGCCAAACAAUAUAAUCCACCUUUAUCUGAAGAUUUUCCUCUCUCUUUCCUUUCGUGUAGCCAUACAGGCCAUAAUUAUCGCCGAACAACCGUUUCGUCCGACCAUAGGCUUUGGCGGCGUCAGCAAGCGCACAACCAAAUGCGUUUGUACGCCACAGCCCUCAGCCACGGCAGAAAAUUAACAAAUUCGUUUCUAAUGCAAACAGACGAUUUACAAACCCACCAAAAAAUAAAAUCUAUUUAUAACUAUGAAAUUAUUUUGCUGGUGUGUUUCUUCAUAUGGCGUAUAUAAUUGUGCAUGUAUCUACAUCUGUGUAUGUACAAAUACAUAUAUAUUUUUUGCAAAUCAUUUACGUUUGCUCUAGUGAAUUGCAUACACGUUUGUAUGUAUGCAUAUGGCUUUUCUUUGAUUUUGUGCGUACUUUUAUAUGUUCUUUUCCACAAUAUGAUGCGAAUUCUGUUGCGUAGACAAUAUAGCAGACACGAGCCUAUUAUUGAUUCUUAGUUUUAAAUUUUAAUUAGUGGCAUAACCUAAAGAAAAGGAAAAACUAGAAGCAUUGCCAUAAUAUCCUCCAAACUUCUUUCGUCGUUACAAUUGUUGGAAAAUACUUGAUGUUGUUGUGAUGUAUUGGUUAAUCUUUACAUUUUUGUAAAUAAAAUCAUAAUUUUUGAAGAAGUAUAAAAAAUACCCAAUAAAUUACUCAAACUUUUGAAAAAUUAUGAUUUUCUAAUAAGUAGUAUCAAAAAACCAAAAAAAUAUUUGGAACAAAAAGUGCAUAUCUACCUAAAUGAAAAUACAUCUAUACGCAUUAAAGCCGAACUUUUAAAACAGUUCUUUUGACUUUAAUAGUUUUUUUUUUACAUCUGUAUCGCCUCUAUAUGAAAUAUUAGAUUAUGACACUUCCCUUUCAAUUAUUUUAAGCAACAGCUCUUUGGUAUGGAAUCAUUUUAUUGCGUUGCCAAAGAUUACAAACAAAAUGUCAUAUAUACCAACAUACAUAAGUAUUUACAACAAAAGCCUUGAUACUCGGUCGUUGAGCACCUCAGAGAUCUAAGUGACAAUAACCUUUGUUUUCAAUGACAUGGCCACUGUUAUUCUCUGCUGUCUAGAAUUUAAUUUAAUAAAGAAAUAAAAAUCUGUAUUUCACGCCAGAGCGAGGAUAACUAAGUAAAUCACAGUUAUGCCAUUGGCUUUGCUAGAAUGAAAACAACAAGACAUCCAGUGUUUUUUCAAUUUAAGUGGGUGGGUGGCGGCAGCCUUCGCGCCAAUGUGAGAGCAGCAGGCUUUUACAGAAUGUGUUCACAAAGUGAUAUACAUAUGUAUAUGUACAUACAUAUAUAUUUAUAAUGUAUACAAACAUGCAAGAAUGCAUUUUUUUAAAUUUAGGCAAAAUCACUGACACUUAUCUUAUUCUGAACUUAUCACACAUUUCCUUUUUCUUCUAAAUUAAUUCUCUUUAAUUUGAAUGAUAAAACCAUUUUACAGUAUUAUUUUAACAUUUUCAGGAUUGUAGUUUUGUCUAAAUUGUUCUGUUCCACAAAUAAAUUGCCUAUAAAAAAAUAAAUGGCAACAUCAAACGUUUGUUGACGCGCUUUAUAGCCUUGGCCUCGUUCUAGGCGAUUUUCUAUCACAAAUCAAACAUUUCACAGGAGGCAAACGCUGCAGCCAACGGCAACGCAACAACAAUGCUCUUGGCGAACGCAAUUACAGCUACAAAACAAAUUAUAAAAAUAACGAAAUUUCAUACAAAUUUAAUUUGAUUUGAUUUUGUGUUUGUUAUUUUUUUUUUGUUUUACUUAUUGUGUAAUUGGUGAUUUGGUAAUUUCGAUGCACAUUAGUUGCUUUGGUUGUUGUUUUUAAAUAUAUACAUUUCUCUAUUGCCAAA